AAAUCAGGUGCACAGUUAUAAUAAGUAUUUACCGGUAGACAAGAUAUGAAUUGUUAUUUAUGCUAAAUAAUAUUUAGGAGGAGAAGCUGAGACCUGCAGCAGGUUAGACUUGUAGAAAAUAUAAUGCCGAUAAAUUUCGAUAAAAAUGUUAAUGUGCUUCUUUUGCUUGAUGCUGAAUGAAACUUGAGUAUCAGUGUAAGCUGUGAGGCUUUUUCUCAAAUAUGCCUUGUGGUCUGUUCAGUUGCCUCCUGCUGGUUUGCAAAGAUGAUUAAUGACCGAACAUCACUCACAUCCAGCACCUCUGUCUUGUGAAAUCAGAAGACCCUCUUGAGAAUCAUCUGCAUGCCCGACACGUGUAAAUCUGAUUUUGUGAAGGCUUUGCUGUGUUUCUUUUGGCCGUGUUUCAUAGUUGCUCUAAGUUGUCGUUUCCUAGGCCAAGUGGAUGAUGAAGGCAUCAAAGGUUAGCGUUUCCUCUGAUUUUCCUUUUUAAUUCGUAAAACUGCAUUCAUUCACCUAAAAAUGAAAAUUCUUACCUUCAUUUCGUUCCAAACCUGUGAUGUUCCUAUAUUUAGUAAAAAAACAUAUUUUGAGCAAUGUUACAAUGGUAGUCAGCGGGGUUCAAAACUGGACCGUAUAUAGAAAAAAACAUUUUAUAAUAUACCUUUUAUGUUCAAAAACCUGCCAGUGACGUCUCUCUGUAUUUUUGUAGUCACGUCGUGGUACGAAACACAAAUACAGCAAGCAUUUUUACAUCCUGACGCCUGUGAUUUCACAGAUGUGAUUUUGUCAGUACACCAUCGGGUCUAACAAAAUCCCGUCUGACAGCCAUUUAGGUCAUUUCCUCUCUUUAAGACCCCGUAAUACAGCUCUCUGAAGGUAAAGACUGCCCAGCGCGUCGCCUGACGAAAUUGGGAAUGUUGGGUAAUCUAAUUAGAGGGCAGGACGGGGGCCCAUGGGGCCACAGACUGUGGCGAAGCAGGGAAACACUCGCCCUAAAGCUGCGCACCGCAGGCUGGCUGUGGUAAUGUCUGAGAGGCUAAUUCUUCCUCAUGAGGAAAAACAGGACCUUCUCUGAAGGGGACGGACACAACCCUGCUCUGACCGCAGAGAUAGAGGAUCGCUGACCCUUUGUGGAUGAACAUACUUGGGGGAAAAGCAGUGGACAGGAUGGUAUGAAAGAAAAGUAAGAGAGCGUGAAGCAAUGCACAAAUACAGAAAGAAGAGGAAGAAACAAGUCCAGCGCUGACUGAUCUGGCAGGAGAAAUCGGGACUUUCAAGUGGAUGCCGAAGUGUUUCAAUAUCCUUCUAUUGUCCCGAGCCUGCGUCACGACCCUUGAACGAGGAUGGAGAUGGGAUCGAGUUAGAGUUGGCUAUUAAACCGCAGGCUUGAUUAGAGGAUGAUGGGAUUGUCCUGCAGCAAAAUGGGGAAAUGCUCAAGAGCUCCACUUCCCACUCUCAGGCAAGAACGCUAGAGUAAUGCCUCCCUUGAGAACUCCUGUGUGUGUGUGUGUGUGUGUGUGUGUGUGUGUGACCCCAGUGAGGACAAAAUAUGCAUGGGUCAGUGAGUUCUGCUGGGCUGGAUCACAGUAUGACUGACAGCACAAGGAGGUUAACCUGCUAUUUUAGCUUGGCUCUGUCCUGACGGGUGAUGCGCAUCUGUUUAAUGGAAAUUAUGUUUGCCAUACCAAAGAGGCGUUUAGUGGUAGCCGCUGUGGACAAACAUAAUUAUGCUGUCAAUAUAUAUCACAGUAUUUUUUGAUAUUUUGCUUAUUUUAUGGUGCUUAAAAAUAAAACGGUUGCUGACAACGGAAGACAUUCGCGUAACGGUUCAUGCACACGAACAUUUAUAAUUUGUUAGCAAAUGAGAUGAGAUUAUAUGCUAUAUUGAUAUUCAUAAACCAUUUCAUCUUAUUCAUGAACUCCAUAAACUUUAUUUUGUUUUUUAAAUGUAGAAUUUAAUAGACAAAUCUAUGCCCCAUUCAAAAUUGCAUUACCACAAAAAGUAUUAUUCGAUUUUAUUUUUUUUUUUUAUGUAAAAAGAGGGAAGAGAGAAAGAAGGCAAAAACAAAAACCAUUUGUGAUCAUUUAAGUUUGUGUGGUUUGUGGCAUUUAUAUAUUUCCUGCUUUAUUUUCCACUUUCCUCUCAU